rnacentral:lncRNA from 1 species
UGUGUCGGAUGAUCCUCCUCAUGCACUCCACCACGGGUCCUGGCCGGUCCUGAAGUCGGUCUCCACCCACGGGACGAAGAGGACCUUGCCGUCGUCGACGUCGGCGUGAACCAGGGCCAGCGACUGUUAAUACAAGAGCAAUAUAUCAAUGCGAAACAGAUCAGCUGGAGCUCAACAAUCAGCUCCACUAUCAUAAGGAAGCUAGAUCAUCCAUGAAAUGGGUGCGUUUGUUUUUACCAGAGGCGCCGGUCCGCGGACCACCUUGCCCUGGUUGUUGUACUGGGAUCCAUGGCAGGGGCAGAUGAACUUGUUCUCGGCGCCGUUCCACGGCACGACGCAGCCGAGGUGGGUGCACACGGCGUUGAUCCCGUAGGUGGCCAGCGUCUUGUCCUGCUCCACCACCAGGUACGUGGGGUCACCCUGCACGCGCGGCGGCGGCGGCGCACGCAAACACGCCGGCCGUGAGCAUCAUCAACGCAACAGACACGCCUGCAGCGGCAGGUGACGACGACGAUGGCGGGUGAGUACGUGACUGAACCUUGAGCCCCUGCGCGAGCGUGCGGUCGUUGGGACCGUGCGUGUUGAGCCACUCCUCCACCGUGAUGUCGUUGCCCAGCUUGUCCUUGGCGUAGGUCCCGCCGCCGCCGUUCCCGGAGCUGCGUGCAAAAUCGGCCGGCCGGCCGGGGUGCUAUUCGUUAAUAGUUGCUGCGCGGCCGGUAACACGUACACGUGUAUACAGUGCGCCGCUAGCUAGCUGUUGAUGCAAAGCAACGCGGUCGAGACGACGACGACGACGACGACUCACCCGGCGGGGACGAAGAAGGCGCCGUAGGGGACGACCAUGCCGACGGUGGGCAGCGAUAUGGCGCCCAGGAGGAGGAGGUUCAUCAGCUUCCGCUUCUCCAUGUCGGGGACGCGGUCGGCGGGGAUGCUGCUCGCCGCCUGGCACGU